rnacentral:rRNA from 1 species
UUAAAACUCAAAUGAAUUGACGGGGGCCCGCACAAGCGGUGGAGCAUGUGGUUUAAUUCGAUGCAACGCGAAGAACCUUACCUGGUCUUGACAUCCACAGAACUUUCCAGAGAUGNNUUGGUGCCUUCGGGAACUGUGAGACAGGUGCUGCAUGGCUGUCGUCAGCUCGUGUUGUGAAAUGUUGGGUUAAGUCCCGCAACGAGCGCAACCCUUAUCCUUUGUUGCCAGCGGUUAGGCCGGGAACUCAAAGGAGACUGCCAGUGAUAAACUGGAGGAAGGUGGGGAUGACGUCAAGUCAUCAUGGCCCUUACGACCAGGGCUACACACGUGCUACAAUGGCAUAUACAAAGAGAAGCGACCUCGCGAGAGCAAGCGGACCUCAUAAAGUAUGUCGUAGUCCGGAUUGGAGUCUGCAACUCGACUCCAUGAAGUCGGAAUCGCUAGUAAUCGUAGAUCAGAAUGCUACGGUGAAUACGUUCCCGGGCCUUGUACACACCGCCCGUCACACCAUGGGAGUGGGUUGCAAAAGAAGUAGGUAGCUUAACCUUCGGGAGGGCGCUUACCACUUUGUGAUUCAUGACUGGGGUGAAG